CAGUCGCCACGGGAACACGAGGGGGGCAAGCGUUGUUCGGAAUUAUUGGGCGUAAAGGGUGCGUAGGCGGUUCGAUAAGUCAUCUGUGAAAUCUAUGGGCUCAACCCAUAGUCUGCAGGCGAAACUGUCGGGCUUGAGUAUUGGAGAGGUGAGUGGAAUUUCCGGUGUAGCGGUGAAAUGCGUAGACAUCGGAAGGAACACCUGUGGCGAAAGCGGCUCACUGGACCAUUUCUGACGCUGAUGCACGAAAGCUAGGGGAGCAAACAGGAUUAGAUACCCCAGUAGUCCCUGUCUCUUAUAC
rnacentral:rRNA from 1 species